UACAUAGGGUGCAAGCGUUUUUCGGAAUUAUUGGGCGUAAAGAGCGCGUAGGCGGUCUGAUAAGUCUGGUGUGAAAUCCCUGGACUCAAUUCAGGAAGCGCAUUGGAUACUGUCAGACUCGAGUACAGGAGAGGUGAGCGGAAUUCCCGGUGUAGAGGUGAAAUUCGUAGAUAUCGGGAGGAACAACAGUGGCGAAGGCGGCUCACUGGACUGUAACUGACGAUGAGGCGCGAAAGCGUGGGGAGCAAACAGG
rnacentral:rRNA from 1 species